rnacentral:rRNA from 1 species
CAAUAGCGUAUAUUAAAGUUGUUGCGGUUAAAAAGCUCGUAGUUGGAUUUCUGCCGAGUCCGACCGGUCCGUCCCUACGGGAACGGCACCUGGAUUAGACGAGGUAUUUCUCGGUGUACGUGUUGGCUACUUGAUUGUGCUGCACGGCCUCCGGGGCAUUUACUUUGAGGAAAUUAGAGUGUUCAAAGCAGGCCGUACGCUUGAAUACAUUAGCAUGGAAUAAUGGAAUAGGACGUCGGGCCUAUUUUGUUGGUUCUAGGACCGUCGUAAUGAUUAAUAGGGACAGUUGGGGCCGUUUAUAUUCCGUAGUCAGAGGUGAAAUUCUUGGAUUUACGGAAGAUAAACUACUGCGAAAGCAUUCGGCAAGGAUGUUUUCGUUAA